UUCCCUGUUUGCCUGUACCUGUUGGCUCCAAAAUGCAAGUUAACUCUCUUCCAUUGUGCACUGUUCACAAAGUGACAUAACAUAAAACAGUGAUCCACAAGCUGGUAUGGAACAACAUAAUGGAGGCCAUGCCAUUUGUCUUGGAAAGUACGCUGCAAAAUAACUAUAAUCAUAACUCCCAGUUCCUGUCACAAGCCCUAGGCUAUCUUCAAGGUCCAGAUGUAGUGAUGAGAGAUGCUGCAGCAAUGUUUAUUGUCUCUCCUCCUUUCCUCUGGUUGCGGAGUUGCUGCAAUAGCACCAAGAUCCUGGAUGGAAAGUUUUGUUGCAGAAGUGACCUGUGA
rnacentral:lncRNA from 1 species